GGGCUUACACAAGCGGUGGAGCAUGUGGUUUAAUUCGAUACAACGCGCAAAACCUUACCAAUUUUUGACAUAGGAAAAGUAUUUUUGUUAUUAAAAAUCUCUUUUUUCUACAGGUGCUGCAUGGCUGUCGUCAGUUCGUGGCGUGAGCUGUUGGGUUAAGUCCUAGAACGAACGCAACCCUCAGGUUCUUUGCUUUGAAUCAUUGAACCAACUGCCUCUGAGAUAGAGGAGGAAGGGGGGAUGACGUCAAGUCCGCAUGGCCCUCAUGAAUUGGGCUACACACGUGCUACAAUGAUGAUGCCAAAAAAGAUGCAAGUUGGUAACACGGAGCAAUUCUCUAACCAUCAUCUUAGUUCGGAUUGGUCUCUGCAACCCGAGACCAUGAAGCCGGAAUCGCUAGUAAUCGUAGAUC
rnacentral:rRNA from 1 species